AACGAACGCUGGCGGCAGGCUUAACACAUGCAAGUCGAACGCCCCGCAAGGGGAGUGGCAGACGGGUGAGUAACGCGUGGGAAUCUACCCAGUUCUACGGAAUAACCCAGGGAAACUUGGACUAAUACCGUAUACGCCCUACGGGGGAAAGAUUUAUCGGAAUUGGAUGAGCCCGCGUGGGAUUAGCUAGUUGGUGGGGUAAUGGCCUACCAAGGCGACGAUCCAUAGCUGGUCUGAGAGGAUGAUCAGCCACACUGGGACUGAGACACGGCCCAGACGCCUACGGGGGGCAGGAGUGGGGAAGAUUGGAGAAUGGGCGCAAGCCUGAUCCAGCCAUGCCGCGUGAGUGAUGAAGGCCUUAGGGUUGUAAAGCUCUUUCAGUGGGGACGAUAAUGCCGGUACCCACAGAAGAAGCCCCGGCUAGCUUCGUGCCCGCCGCCGCCGUAACAC
rnacentral:rRNA from 1 species